rnacentral:lncRNA from 1 species
AAUUAUUUAUUUAUUAAUUUUCAAGUUAUAAAUGAGUUUUGAAAAUUGCACACAUUUAUUUGUAACAACAACAUCUUGAAGUUAAAGGAACGGUUUAAAGAUUUUUACAUCAGCAUUUUAAUAAAAUAUUUAUUUAGAGAUUGAAUCUUAUCAUAAUCAUGAUUAUAUAUGGUCUUUAUCUACUAGAAGGUGUGUACAUGUACACGUAGGUGUCAUAAUUAAUUGAAGCCAGUGCUUGCAAAGCCUUUCAACAAUGUUCAAUGAUUACUUUCUAGGCUGUAAAAAAUACAGACAUGAAAGAUUCAUUAUUUUUUGUCAAACAAGAGUUGUUUCCCAUUUGUGAAGGAUUGCAUUCUUCAGCCAUUGUAUAAUUGCGUUUGACCUUAGAAUUUAACCAUAUGCUUAUAGGGGG